GUCGGGAUAGCUCAGCUGGUAGAGCAGAGGACCGAAAAUCCUC
rnacentral:tRNA from 1 species